GAUGAACGCUGGCGGCGUGCCUAAUACAUGCAAGUCGAACGGUGUAUAUGAGCAAUCGUAUACAUAGUGGCGAACGGGUGAGUAACGCGUUGGUGACCUGCCCUAAAGCGGGGGACAACAUCUCGAAAGGGCUGCUAAUACCCCAUGCAGUUGAGAGAGAUUAGAAACUUUCAACUAAAGGAGAAAUCCACUUUAGGAGGGCCUGCGUCCCAUCAGCUAGUUGGUAGGGUAAUGGCCUACCAAGGCGUAGACGGGUAGGGACCUGAGAGGUGGCCCCCCACAAUGGAACUGAAACACGGUCCAUACACCUACGGGUGCAG
rnacentral:rRNA from 1 species